UACGUAGGGUGCAAGCGUUGUCCGGAAUUAUUGGGCGUAAAGAGCUCGUAGGCGGUCUGUCGCGUCGGCUGUGAAAACCCGGGGCUCAACCCCGGGCCUGCAGUCGAUACGGGCAGACUAGAGUGCGGUAGGGGAGAUCGGAAUUCCUGGUGUAGCGGUGAAAUGCGCAGAUAUCAGGAGGAACACCGGUGGCGAAGGCGGAUCUCUGGGCCGUAACUGACGCUGAGGAGCGAAAGCAUGGGGAGCAAACAGG
rnacentral:rRNA from 1 species